rnacentral:tRNA from 1 species
UUGGAUUUAAGCCCCAAAUAUAAAGCCUUAACUUUUUUUAGAA